GACAUUUUAGCUUAAUGGUAGAGUUUUGUAUUACGGAUACAAUGGUUAUAGGUUCAAGUCCUGUAAAUGUCU
rnacentral:tRNA from 1 species